GAUUGAACGCUGGCGGCAGGCCUAACACAUGCAAGUCGAGCGGAUGAAGGGAGCUUGCUCCUGGAUUCAGCGGCGGACGGGUGAGUAAUGCCUAGGAAUCUGCCUGGUAGUGGGGGAUAACGUCCGGAAACGGGCGCUAAUACCGCAUACGUCCUGAGGGAGAAAGUGGGGGAUCUUCGGACCUCACGCUAUCAGAUGAGCCUAGGUCGGAUUAGCUAGUUGGUGGGGUAAAGGCCUACCAAGGCGACGAUCCGUAACUGGUCUGAGAGGAUGGUCAGUCACACUGGAACUGAGACACGGUCCAGACUCCUACGGGAGGCAGCAGUGGGGAAUAUUGGACAAUGGGCGAAAGCCUGAUCCAGCCAUGCCGCGUGUGUGAAGAAGGUCUUCGGAUUGUAAAGCACUUUAAGUUGGGAGGAAGGGCAGUAAGUUAAUACCUUGCUGUUUUGACGUUACCAACAGAAUAAGCACCGGCUAACUUCGUG
rnacentral:rRNA from 1 species